rnacentral:other from 1 species
GCGUUCCUGCGAAGCAGGUGCCGGCCUUUCCUAUUUUGAUCCAAUGCCUCAAAAUAGGGGGUCCGUCUCGAUUUAGCGUUGGUGAGCAAGCUCCUGGCGGUUCGCCGCAAGGGAGAAGCCUGAAGGCGCUCGGAGGGCACCCACUCGCGUUUACUAAACGUGGGUCAAUAACGGGGGCUGGUACGGCCGAGUGGUGCGCU